rnacentral:lncRNA from 1 species
AUGGUGGUUGGCAAAAACAAGCACCUCACAAAAGGUGGCAAAAAGGAGCCAAGGAGGAAGUGGUUGAUUCAUUUGCUAAGAAAAAUGGUGUGAUGUAAAAGCACCUGCUAUGUUCAAUAUAAGAAAUAUUGGAAAGACACUAGUCACCAGGGCUCAAGUAAAUAAAACUGCAUCCGACAGCAUCAGGGGUCAUGUGUUUGAAGUGAAUCUUGCUGAUCUGCAGAAUAAUGAAGUUGAAUUUGGAAAAUUCAAGCUGAUUCUUGAAGAUGUUCAUGUCAAAAACUUCCUAACUUCCAUGGCAUGAAUCUUACCCGUGAUAAAAUGUGUUCCACAGUAAAAAAGGGCAGACCAUGAUUAAAGUUUCUUUCGAUGUGAAGACUAUUGAUGUUAAUUUAUUUUGUCUGUUUUGUAUUGGUUUUACUAAAAAAUGCAAAAAUUAGUUAUAGAGAUGUCUUAUGCUCUGCACCAAUGGGUCCACCAAAUCCAGAAAAAGGUGAUAGAAAUCAUGACCUGAGAAGUGCAAACAAAUGACUUGAAAGAAGUGGCCAGUAAAUUGAUUUCAUACAUAAUUGGAAACGACAUAAAAAAAAAAAAACCUUGUCAAUCUAUUUAUCCUCGUCAUUAUGUCUUUUUUAGAACAGUAAAAAUGCUGAGGGAGCCCAAGUUUGAAUUGGGAAACUCAUGGAGUUUCAUGGUGAAGGUAGUAGUUCUGAAAAAGCUACUGGGGAUGAGAUAGUUGGUAAAGUUUAACAAGUUUAUGGGUAUGAACAACUCUUCCAACAAUCUGUUUAA